GUACUAUGUACACCCAUUUUUUAUUGUUUUUUUUAUUUCUUAUUGGGGGGAUUAAUGUUUUACAGUCAACAGUGAAUACGAUAGAUUGUACAUGCAUAACAUUUCCCAGUUUUCCACAUAGAAUACAACCCCACCAGGACCUCUGCCACCCUCGUCCAUGUUCUUUGUGGGAUUUCACUUUGUCCCGAGACGGAGUGCCUGCAGUGUUUCUGUGUUUUGCACACUCAACUGGGCUUUUGGGACCUGGAGCUGGUGCCGUGGUGAUAAUGGCAGGGUUCUCCUUUGUUGAUAAGUUAUGGUCAGGAGGAGGUCAGCAAGGGGGCAGGUGAACUGGCUGGCCCUGCCCGAGAGGACCGGGUCUCCGCCCCACACCCUGGGUCAGUUACACGCAUUCUCCUCUCUCUGUGUUCAGCCUGAGAGGUCAGUUUCCUGCCCAGUGCAGAGAGGCAGCCAUUACCUUCUCUCUGCAGCUGUUCUAACCCUCUUCAUUCCCCACCAGGCUUGGACACCUCAGCAGACUGACCACUCCAGGCUCGGCUGCCAGUUUUCAGACUGUUUCUGUCUCAGAGGUGAGUGCCAGUAGGAAGUGUAGUUCUUUGACUUUCUCGGGAGGCUGCUGGGCCUUUCCUGUGGGGUAACCUCUCCGCAUCAGAGUGCCGGCCUCCUAAUACAUCUCCUGAUGGAUGCCUCUCCC